GUCCCCGGCGGCUUCCCGCCUCUGCAAACCUGCUUCUCCGCCCCCUCCUCCGCGGCUCCCCGGGGGGGGGGGGUUUCCCGAGGGGCUUUCCUGGCCUGAGAGGCCGGGGCUGGGGGCCAAAGGUGGGGGGAGGACCCCGGGAACCAGGGCGGAACAGAUGGGGCAUCAAGGUUGGGUCCUGGUCCAGACUGGCUUUAUGGACGGGAAGGCGGAGGAUGGAGGCCUGCAGAGGGUCACGGUGGAGGUCAAGUGCAUGGGAAUCGGUGCUGGAGCACGCGACACCCUCCUGACCACUGGUCAGAUCUGCGCCUUCACCUCUGCGCACAGCUUGCAGGGCUGUGGAGGGCAGUGUGGCCACUUCUGCCUGGGCAGGGUCUCAGGGCCCUCCUGGGGGUGAUGCUGCUCCAGUGUGGGAUCUGCUAGGGCUCGAGGCCUGAGGCUGUCACAGAACUAUUAGACCUGCUGAUUUCUGAGUUCCCCAGCUCCAUCCUUCCCAGUGGCCAGGGUCACCCCCCACCCCCACCCCCCGCAGGCACAGGGAAGCCUGGGUGCCAGGAUGGACCCUGGCCUCAGCAGCCUGAGUUGCCUUUCACUCAUCCUGGACUCAUCCCCCUUUCUGCUGAGCCUGGGCACUGUCCCUGUUCCUCUGCUAGUCCUUCCAGGCCUGGUCUUCCCCACAGGGACUUAGAAGCCCCUCUGGCAUGCCCAGUCUCCAGGCUGCCCUGCCUUCCCUCCCAGCCUCUGCAUGUUCUCCUUCAAGUUCUGCCCAAAGACCCUGGGUCCUCUUGCCUGCCGGUCCCCCUUCCCCAGGUGCUUUCUGAGAGGCCCUCUGGGACCUUGUCUGCCAUGCCCCACCAUGACCCCAUCUGUGCCCUGCAGGAGGACAACACAGCGUCCUGGCCUGGCCUCCACUGAUCUUGGGGUGUGGCCUUCAAGAGAAUUCUGUCUUCUCAGCACCCAUGUCAGAGGCAGAAACUGGGAGCAGUGAGGGACCCUGGCAGCCACGUGUGGACCUGGCCUCUGCAUCACAACCCCCCCCCCGCGCAGUGCCCGGAAGAGCCUUUCAGGAAGGUGGACUCCAAGGAGCUGGCCCUUCCCGGGAAGCUGGGCUCUUAACCCCGUCGAGGGGCCACAGGCAUGGUGAGUGGGCCGCUUCCCAGCCCUG
rnacentral:lncRNA from 1 species